rnacentral:piRNA from 1 species
UGCUCUUGUUUCCCCUGGCUAGGAGUC